GACGAACGCUGGCGGCGUGCUUAACACAUGCAAGUCGAACGGAAAGGCCCUGCUUUUGUGGGGUGCUCGAGUGGCGAACGGGUGAGUAACACGUGAGUAACCUGCCCUUGACUUUGGGAUAACUUCAGGAAACUGGGGCUAAUACCUGAUAGGAGCUCCUGCUGCAUGGUGGGGGUUGGAAAGUUUCGGCGGUUGGGGAUGGACUCGCGGCUUAUCAGCUUGUUGGUGGGGUAGUGGCUUACCAAGGCUUUUACGGGUAGCCGGCCUGAGAGGGUGACCGGCCACAUUGGGACUGAGAUACGGACCAGACUCCUACGGGAGGCAGCAGUGGGGAAUAUUGCACAAUGGGCGGAAGCCUGAUGAAGCAACGCCGCGUGCGGGAUGACGGCCUUCGGGUUGUAAACCGCUUUCGCCUGUGACGAAGCGUGAGUGACGGUAAUGGGUAAAGAAGCACCGGCUAACUACGUG
rnacentral:rRNA from 1 species